UCUUAGCUGCACUGUGAAUCUUUUGCUUUCUGCCCUAGGCUUCUCUAUCCUAGAUGUGAGAGAUGCCUGUGGGAACCUGUCCAGAUAUUCUGGUACAUGGACAGAUUCCAAAGGUGAAAAUAUUAAUAUUUCAUGUGACAUCGUUUGACCAGUGGAUGAUGGGAGACUGGACAGAUCUGCCUCCUCUCAAGUGGACAACCUUGGACCACAUUCUCCAGAGUCUCCAGUUGGAAACUCAGCAAAAAACAAGAAACAAGUUGACAUCUCAUAGACCUGUUGGUAGAAAUCCCUCACCACCAUGAAGGGAAGAAGAUGUUGUCCUCAAGAGACAUUUUGGAGUUUUGUGGAUCCGACUGGUAACUGAACGAGGAAUCUGCUGUCUUUUAUGGGUAGACUAGAUGGUUAGUAGGUUCUUAAAUGUUUCUUGAACUACUGUCCUCCCUUGACUGAUAAACCAAUAAGAUGCUCAAAAUGUUAAGUACAAAGCAAAUAAAUGUCCCUUAUAUACCCUA